rnacentral:rRNA from 1 species
AUUGAACGCUGGCGGCAUGCCUUACACAUGCAAGUCGAACGGCAGCAUGAUCUAGCUUGCUAGAUUGAUGGCGAGUGGCGAACGGGUGAGUAAUACAUCGGAACGUGCCCUGUAGUGGGGGAUAACUAGUCGAAAGAUUAGCUAAUACCGCAUAAGACCUGAGGGUGAAAGUGGGGGACCGCAAGGCCUCAUGCUAUAGGAGCGGCCGAUGUCUGAUUAGCUAGUUGGUGAGGUAAAGGCUCACCAAGGCGACGAUCAGUAGCUGGUCUGAGAGGACGAUCAGCCACACUGGGACUGGGACACGGCCCAGACUCCUACGGGAGGCAGCAGUGGGGAAUUUUGGACAAUGGGCGAAAGCCUGAUCCAGCAAUGCCGCGUGUGUGAAGAAGGCCUUCGGGUUGUAAAGCACUUUUGUCCGGAAAGAAAUGGCUCUGGUUAAUACCUGGGGUCGAUGACGGUACCGGAAGAAUAAGGACCGGCUAACUACGUG